GGCAAGGUGGCCGAGCGGUCUAAGGCGCCACGUUAAGGCAAACCCUUAAUCGUCUUCUCUCCGAGAAUCCGUGGUCCGAAAGGGCGUGAGUUCGAAUCUCACCCUUGUCA